rnacentral:rRNA from 1 species
AGCAGCCGCGGUAAUUCCAGCUCCAAUAGCGUAUAUUAAAGUUGUUGCAGUUAAAAAGCUCGUAGUUGAAUUUCGGGAUCAAUACGUCGGUCGUGCUUCGGUACGUACUGGCGUCAUUGGUUUCUCCCUUCUGACGAACCAUGAUGUCAUUAACUUGGUGUCAUGGGAAAUCAGGACUGUUACUUUGAAAAAAUUAGAGUGUUUAAAGCAGGCUCACGCUUGAAUACAUUAGCAUGGAAUAAUGAAAUAGGACGUUCGAUCCUAUUUUGUUGGUUUCUAGGAUUGACGUAAUGAUUAAUAGGGAUAGUUGGGGGCAUUAGUAUUCAAUUGUCAGAGGUGAAAUUCUUGGAUUUAUUGAAGACUAACUACUGCGAAAGCAUUUGCCAAGGAUGUUUUCAUUAAUCAAGAACGAAAGUUAGGGGAUCGAAGACGAUCAGAUACCGUCGUAGUCUUAACCAUAAACUAUGCCGACUAGGGAUCGGAUGAUGUUAAUUUUUAAUGA